UGUACCGUGCCUCUCGCCUAAAAUCAGCUGGGAACAUUGAUGGAUGGAUAUUGGUCAAGUGGUCAUAGUGUACUGUACACUACAAUUAUAUAAUUUUAUAGCAAUGAUUUCCUGGCAUAGCAUAAGCAUCUCAUCAGAUUGCUCAGAUGUCAUACCUUAAUAUUUAUCUGUGGAGUGCGCAGCUACGCUGUGAUUUUUAACCAGCAUUAUUGGAGCGGCCAUAGCUCAGCGGUAAGGACUUUGACUUUGGACCCAAUUACUAGUAGUUGUUGGAGAGAUGCUAGUCUGAUUCCUGACUACUGCCGAGGUGUCCUUGAGCAAGGCCCUCCCCUAGCUGAAGAGGCGUAGCACUGCUUCACGUCUCCUCACGCCAGCAUGUGUGUGUCAUCUGGUUGUGGUUGAAUUUUCCUUUGAGGGAAAAUGAAUCAUAUCCAUUAGGGUCAUGGGUGAGCUGAAGCUUGUCCCUGAUGACUUUGGGCAAGAAGUGCCGUGCGCCCUGGACUGGCCACCAGCCAAUCGCAGGGCACGUAUAGAUAAACAACCAUGCAGCCUCACAUUCACACCGACACGUUUGGGCAAUUUCAAGUCUUCAAGAAACCUAACAAUAACCUGACGUGUGUGUUUUGGAAAUGUAAGAAGAAAGCUGAAGUAUUUGGAGAAAACCCACACCAGCACGGGGAGAACGUGAACUCCACAUAAGAAGGACUGAGCCAUGAUUUGAACCUGGGACCUCUGGACUGUGAGGCAGAAGUGCUAACCACUGAACACUGACACAUUAUUGGGAUAUUAUUAAGAGACCAUCAGGCUGGGUGGUGCAGAAAUAAUUGAUUCAAGUACAUGUAAUCAAUGUUCACCUAUCUAUGCCAUCAACGUUUAGUGACAGGGAAAAUAUGUUCCUCCACCAGAUGGCAGAAGGUACAAUUAACCUCGAGCCACCUGUUGACAUUCAGACAACAGACGAAGAGAUUGGUGUUCAACUAAACAGGCCCACAUUUCACACACGUCACGGUUCAUCGUGUGAAGACUUAGAGAGCACUUACCUUUACAAAUGUCUGCAUAGUCUGAACAGCAGUCUCUGAAGCGCUCACAGGACGGAUUACAUUGACAGGAGAAAUCACUGUCAGUUCCAAAGCCACAGCGGUUCUGACAUGAGUCAAGGGAAUCUCGAAGGCAAAGGGACACAUUAUUAUCUUCGCCAUCUGCUAAUAGCCUCUGCUAAAGUCAUGAUGCACAAACCCAUACAGAUGUGCUACAGUGUCAGUAAGGAAGGAAAUAACAUCUUACUGCUAUGUGCCCGACAGAGCAGAGCGAUCCAAAGUCCAAAGACAGCAAUGAGCUUCAUCCCGGCUCAAAGGAAACGUGAACAGGACCCUUGUCGUGGUCUGCCUUUUAUAGAGCGUGGUCAUGUAGCACCUCGGCCAGCCCACAUGGCAAAGUUGACCUCGCAAGAUGUCUAAAAUGCCCUUUAUACGCGAUUCACUCACAUAUUUGUAUUGGUUUAAUAAUUGUUGCAUUUGUCUGACCUCUGAUAUAUUUUCUUAAUGUGCAAAUAAACUUGCUAUCUUUACUCUGUGAAAUUCCCCACCUGCUUGGUAUGCCAAUGCUAUUUUAAUGUAUUAAGAAAAAGAUAUGGCAGUAUCAAGUUGUGAGCUGUGACGUUUGCAGUUUGCAUACAAUUUGCAUCUAUGAAAUUAUACAUCCAAAUACUGUAAAUCAUGUGAAGGUUCAGCUCUGUUUGUCUUUAAAGUUUGCAUGCCCAAUUGUGAGAAAAUACUAAACUUAAAGACUGUUAUAAUAUAAGGUUGUCAGUGUGUCAGAUGUUGUCUUUCACAGGGUUUUUGCAAGGCAGCUCUGUGCACUCGCCAGAGACAAGUGACAGUGGCCAUUUUUACUUCAAAUAUGUCCUUGCUAUACAUUUGGA